UACGGAGGGGGCUAUCGUUUUUCGGAAUUACUGGGCGUAAAGCGCACGUAGGCGGAUUGUUAAGGCGGGGGUGAAAUCCUGGGGCUCAACCUCAGAAUUGCCUUCGAUACUGGCAGUCUUGAGUACGGGAGAGGUGAGUGGAAUUCCCAGUGUAGAGGUGAAAUUCGUAGAUAUUGGGAAGAACACCAGUGGCGAAGGCGGCUCACUGGCCAGUAACUGACGCUGAGGUGCGAAAGCGUGCGGAGCAACCAGG
rnacentral:rRNA from 1 species